rnacentral:misc_RNA from 1 species
AGCAGCCGCGGUAAUUCCAGCCCCAAUAGCGUAUAUUAAAGUUGUUGCAGUUAAAAGCUCGUAGUUGAAUUUCGGGAUCAAUAUAUCGGUCGUGCCUUGGUACGUACUGGUAUCAUUGGUUUCUCCUUUCUGACGAACCAUGAUGUCAUUAAUUUGGUGUUAUGGGAAGUUAGGACUGUUACUUUGAAAAAUUGAGUGUUUAAAGCAGGCUUUAGCUUGAAUACAUUAGCAUGGAAUAAUGAAAUAGGACGUUCGAACCUAUUUUGUUGGUUUCUAGGAUCAACGUAAUGAUUAAUAGGGAUAGUUGGGGGCAUUAGCAUUCAAUUGUCAGAGGUGAAAUUCUUGGAUUUAUUGAAGACUAACUACUGCGAAAGCAUUUGCCAAGGAUGUUUUCAUUAAUCAAGAACGAAAGUUAGGGAUCGAAGACGAUCAGAUACCGUCGUAGUCUUAACCAUAAACUAUGCCGACUAGGGAUCGGAUGAUGUUAAUUUUUAAUGUACUUCAUUACGGCGUCCUUACG